CAGCAGCCACGGUAAAACGUAGGGUGCAAGCGUUAAUCGGAAUUACUGGGCGUAAAGCGUGCGCAGGCGGUUCGUUAAGACAGAUGUGAAAUCCCCGGGCUUAACCUGGGAACUGCAUUUGUGACUGGCGGGCUAGAGUAUGGCAGAGGGGGGUAGAAUUCCACGUGUAGCAGUGAAAUGCGUAGAGAUGUGGAGGAAUACCGAUGGCGAAGGCAGCCCCCUGGGCCAAUACUGACGCUCAUGCACGAAAGCGUGGGGAGCAAACAGGAUUAGAUACCCGAGUAGUCCCUGUCUCUUAUAC
rnacentral:rRNA from 1 species